rnacentral:rRNA from 1 species
UACGUAGGUGGCAAGCGUUGUCCGGAUUUAUUGGGUUUAACGGGUGCGUAGGCGGCUUUUUCAGUCAGUGGUGAAAGCCGAUCGCUUAACGAUCGCACUGCCAUUGAUACUGAGAGGCUUGAGUAUAGUUGAGGUAGGCGGAAUUGACAGUGUAGCGGUGAAAUGCAUAGAUAUUGUCGAGAACACCAAUUGCGAAGGCAGCUUACUAAAGUAUAACUGACGCUGAGGCACGAAAGUGCGGGGAUCAAACAGG